rnacentral:ncRNA from 2 species
GCAACACAGGGAAAUGGUGUUCUUCCUUACCCAACCGCCCUGUUUCAACGGGACUGAUGACGCCUGAUUAAGA